UAGUCCACGCCGUAAACGAUGAUAACUAGCUGUCCGAACCCACAGGGUUUGGGUGGCGCAGCUAACGCAUUAAGUUAUCCGCCUGGGGAGUACGGUCGCAAGAUUAAAACUCAAAGGAAUUGACGGGGGCCUGCACAAGCGGUGGAGCAUGUGGUUUAAUUCGACGCAACGCGCAGAACCUUACCAGCUUUUGACAUCCUGGUCGCGGAUUUGGGAGACCAUUUCCUUCAGUUCGGCUGGACCAGUGACAGGUGCUGCAUGGCUGUCGUCAGCUCGUGUCGUGAGAUGUUGGGUUAAGUCCCGCAACGAGCGCAACCCUCAUCCUUAGUUGCCAGCAUUUAGUUGGGCACUCUAAGGAAACUGCCGGUGAUAAGCCGGAGGAAGGUGGGGAUGACGUCAAGUCCUCAUGGCCCUUACAAGCUGGGCUACACACGUGCUACAAUGGCCGGGACAAAGGGCAGCAAGCGAGCAAUCGCAAGCGAAUCUCAUCAAACCCAG
rnacentral:rRNA from 1 species